rnacentral:rRNA from 1 species
UACAGAGGGUGCAAGCGUUGUUCGGAAUUAUUGGGCGUAAAGGGCGCGUAGGCGGUGCGGUAAGUCUGUAGUGAAAUCUCUGGGCUCAACUCAGAGUCUGCUAUAGAAACUGCCGUGCUUGAGUGUGGGAGAGGUGAGUGGAAUUCCCGGUGUAGCGGUGAAAUGCGUAGAUAUCGUCUGGAACGCCGAAGGUGAAAACAGCUCGCUGGGAUUGUGCUGACGCUGAGACACGAAAGCCAGGGGAGCGAACGGG